UGAGGAAUUUUGGACAAUGGGCGAAAGCCUGAUCCAGCCAUUCCGCGUGCAGGAUGAAGGCCCUCGGGUUGUAAACUGCUUUUGUACAGAACGAAAAGGUUUCUACUAAUACUAGGAGCUCAUGACGGUACUGUAAGAAUAAGCACCGGCUAACUAC
rnacentral:rRNA from 1 species